UGGAUUAUCAUAACUGUCCAAAAGUUGAACUUUCAUUUGCUGACAUUCUGUUUUCCAAAACAUGGAUGUGUUGGUUAGAGUCAUCUGGGCAAGGUGAUUGUUUGGAAUCAUUAACAAAUGUGCCCCACCAAAUGGGUGGUUAAUAUGUUAAUUGGACCUUUUUCAUAGCAAUCUCGACUCUCCAUUUUAUGGUUCUAUUAAUUGGAUGGCUUGAUUCGUGUCCCAACGAAGGGUGGGUUGGGUCAAAGGGACUGUCAAAAGCAUUUGAUUGGUCUGUCUAGGUAGCCCUAUGCAAUUGGGAGCACAUAAUUUGUAGAGCUGUUGGAGCAUUGGAUCAUUUCUCUAAUUAAAUUUCAGUUUACUUAGUUCAUAAUUUCUGUGGUCAGAUAUCCCAAAUACCAAAAGCAUUAGUUGAUGCAUACAAGAAGGUAACAAGAACGUAGGAGGUAAAAGUGCACAAAAGAUGUUCCAAUGUUGCACAAAAAAAAUUGCAAGUUAUUCUUACCAUGCCUCGAGAACAUUCCAAAAGUAUGUAGAGCAAGCACAUGAAAUUCCUGGAAACUAUUCUUUAGUGCAUCAACAUGACGGUUCACCACAAUGCUUACCACGAAGAUCCUUGUGCAAAGGAGUUUGGCAUCAAAAUCAGUGAGAAACUUGCUUUGGUUGAAGCACGCAUUUUACCUGCACCUUGGCUUAAAUACCAUGACACUAGUAGAGAAAAGGAUUGCUUGCCCCAAGUUGGUCAAUGGAAUAUGAUGAAUAAGGUAUACUCCUUCAGAAGUUGAAAGUCUCAUUUUAACUGUGAAUUAAAUAUGCAUGUUGGUUCUAAUCGAUGGCUCCAAAUUCUUAGGCUCCCUAUUCUUGUUGCUGCGAUUAGAAAAAAAAAAACUAUAGCCCUGUCCUAGUUUCUGUUCAUGUCUGAAAUCGAUAGAAUAAAAUCAAAUGAUACAAGAAAGAUGUUAUUCCUAUAGAUAAAAAAGAGAAACUAUUAUGAGGGAAAGGAAAUUAAAGGAUUCAGCGUUUGACUUAUUAUUAUGUUUAAUUUUUUUUAAAAAAGCAAAUCUGUUCAUGGCUUUCAGUAAGGAUGGGUUUUUCAUUCAUGAUAUUGAAAUAUGUUUUUCUAUGGCAUAUUGGGACAUGGUUAUUGUAUUGCUUCUACAAUUUCGAUCCUCACAUGAAUUCUCUGUCGAUUAUUUCAUUUCAGCCUGUGCAGAUCUAGAUUGGACUUCUUGAGGUUAAAUUUCUUAUUAGUAAUUGGUUUUCAUGUU